GGGCUUGUAGUCUAGUGGUAGAACACCUCGUUUGCACCGAGGAGAUCCGGGUUCGAUUCCCGGCAAGUCCA
rnacentral:tRNA from 1 species